rnacentral:rRNA from 1 species
GACGAACGCUGGCGGCGUGCCUAAUACAUGCAAGUCGAGCGAGCGGAACCAACAGAUUUACUUCGGUAAUGACGUUGGGAAAGCGAGCGGCGGAUGGGUGAGUAACACGUGGGGAACCUGCCCCUAAGUCUGGGAUACCAUUUGGAAACAGGUGCUAAUACCGGAUAAUAAAGCAGAUCGCAUGAUCAGCUUUUGAAAGGCGGCGUAAGCUGUCGCUAAGGGAUGGCCCCGCGGUGCAUUAGCUAGUUGGUAAGGUAACGGCUUACCAAGGCGACGAUGCAUAGCCGAGUUGAGAGACUGAUCGGCCACAUUGGGACUGAGACACGGCCCAAACUCCUACGGGAGGCAGCAGUAGGGAAUCUUCCACAAUGGACGCAAGUCUGAUGGAGCAACGCCGCGUGAGUGAAGAAGGUUUCGGAUCGUAAAGCUCUGUUGUUGGUGAAGAAGGAUAGAGGUAGUAACUGGCCUUUAUUUGACGGUAAUCAACCAGAAAGUCACGGCUAAC